rnacentral:rRNA from 1 species
AUUGAACGCUGGCGGCAUGCCUUACACAUGCAAGUCGAACGGUAACGGGCCUUCGGGUGCCGACGAGUGGCGAACGGGUGAGUAAUACAUCGGAACGUGCCCGAUCGUGGGGGAUAACGAGGCGAAAGCUUUGCUAAUACCGCAUACGAUCUACGGAUGAAAGCAGGGGACCGCAAGGCCUUGCGCGGACGGAGCGGCCGAUGGCAGAUUAGGUAGUUGGUGGAGAAAGGGUUACCAAGCCGACGAACUGUAGCUGGGUUGGAAAGAUGGUCAGCCACACUGGGACUGAGACACGGCCCAGACUCCUACGGGAGGCAGCAGUCGGGAAUUUUGGACAAUGGGCGCAAGCCUGAUCCAGCCAUGCCGCGUGCAGGAUGAAGGCCUUCGGGUUGUAAACUGCUUUUGUACGGAACGAAAAGCCUUCUUUUAAUACAGGAGGGUCAUGACGGUACCGUAAGAAUAAGCACCGGCUAACUACGUG